GUGCAGCAGGCGCGAAACCUCCGCAAUGCGGGAAACCGCGACGGGGGGACCCCGAGUGCCGUGGCAACGCCACGGUUUUUCCGGAGUGUAAAAAGCUCCGGGAAUAAGGGCUGGGCAAGGCCGGUGGCAGCCGCCGCGGUAAUACCGGCGGCCCGAGUGGUGGCCGCUAUUAUUGGGCCUAAAAGCGUCCGUAGCCGGGCCCGUAAGUCCCUGGCGAAAUCCCACGGCUCAAUCGUGGGGCUUGCUGGGGAUACUGCGGGUCUUGGGACCGGGAGAGGCGGGGGGUACCCCUGGGGUAGGGGUGAAAUCCUAUAAUCCCAGGGGGACCGCCAGUGGCGAAGGCGCCCCGCUGGAACGGGUCCGACGGUGAGGGACGAAGGCCAGGGGAGCAAACCGGAUUAGAUACCCGCGUAGU
rnacentral:rRNA from 1 species